GCUGUCAGUCGGUGACUGCACGGAGUUCUUUGGCACUCGGUUCGAGAAACACGAUAUCAGUUUGGGGUUCGGUGCUAUUUCUGUUCUGAGUACCGCUGGUGAUUUAAAAAUAGAAAUGGUUGAUCUCAUUCCCGAGCGAAUUUGGAGCCUGGUGGUGGAAGGAUGGAGGAAUAUGGCUGACUUGGCAGACAAGAUUGACGAUAUGAUCUGUACAUUUGAGGGUGAGGGUGAAACCACAAUGGAUACGGUAGCUAUGUACAUGUUCGGGUGGAUGAUGUUUGGGUUAGUUGUUUUGGGUAUAGGUAAAUUUGUUUACGGGAAUUUCGUAGCAAAUAAAGAUCCGAAAAGUCAAAGUGUCAUUGUUGAGCCCCUAGUGACCACAACCAAGAGUGACAUCGGUGUUGUGGACUCAGCUGUGAAACAACCCCCCAAGGAUAUUGUCAUUAAAUCUUCAGGGGGUGGUGGUGGUGGUGGUGGUGGUGGUGGCAGAUACAUACCUCCUACUCCACCUGGCCGUAAAAGAUUGGGCUCCAGAUCUGGAAGGCCUGUUGGCCCCAUCGGUCCCGCCAAGCCUAAAUCUUCAAAUUUCAUCCACCCUCCACCGACUGCAACUGGACCAGAAAGUGAAAGUGUUAAGUGGGUGAAUGAGUUAUUUUUCUGGCUCUAUUCUGAUUUAGUGAUAGUGAACGAAUUACUUGGAGUUUGGGUCGAGUCGCUCAACGAGUAUACAAAACAAUCUGUUGAUGAGCAUGGAGUCGGAGUGGAGUUUGUGCGAGUGCUGGGCGAAACGCAAACUCCCGUCUUGAGCAACAUGUUCUGCGAAUGUGCUUCCAACGACGAUGUCACCAUCACUUGCGAUUGUGAAGCUACUCCGGCUCUUCAACUCAAGGUGUUCAGACAGAAAGGCGAGAAAGUGGAAGUGUCGCAUUAUCGAGUCAACGUCAACCGUUUCCGAGCUCGCCUUUCCAUCUUCUGUGUCACUGAGAAGUUGUUGACCGACGUAAAAUGUGACGGAUGGCCUGACAUCAAAGUAUCCUUGGCGCAAGUCGGGUCCAUCAAGAACAACAUGGACGAAAGCCAGCUGCAAGAAGUGAUUACGGAGAUUGUGACCACAGCUUUGAGGAACACAGAAGUACACUUUAACCUGAGUCAGUACCCGACGUGUCCCAGACUGAGCAGAUACGUUCCUCCCCCCGCACACCAGCUGCCUGUACAUUACGACAGUCUGUUAAAUUCCUCUCAUUCCAUGAACUCCAGCUCAACUGCAGACAAACGACUGCUAGUUAAAGUUGUCAAAGCCGUCGGACUUGGAUGUAAAAGAGGAGUUCAAGAACCCUUCUGCAUCGUAGAGCUGGACGAGCCUCCCCAGAAGAACCAAACUUCCCUCAAGAAGGACACUGACAACCCAGUUUGGGAUGAGCACUUCUUGUUUGAUGUUACCGGCCACACAUCGGAGAUACUGUGUGAAGUGUACGACCGCGCGGGCGGCCAAAACAAGUUCCUGGGAUUGGCCAUUGUAGGUGUGGAAGAGUUACUGAUCAAUCCAUCGCAAAGACAAACCAUCUCUCUGCAGUCGCGGCCUUAUCAGGAAGAUCAGGUGUCAGGCAUGCUUACGCUGGAGUUCCUCUUCAUAGAAGGAGCAGACGUACCACAGGUCGGAGACAAACCCUUCAAGCUAAAGGAGACUUUGAAGUCCGUUUCACCCUCGGGUCGUCCCGUCACCACCACCAAAACUGUAUUUGCCAAACAGGGAGGAUCCCCUGAACACCUGGCCAACGGUGGUGACGAGGUCACAGACUCGGCUCUUCGAGACCUGGAGCUGCGUAAUCGCAACAACACCCCCUCACAGCCGAGCAAGAGCACUUUAAUAAUCCACAGUGUUCAGCGGCAACCCCAGAAACAGCUUCUAAAGGUUGAACAAACCGAAGGUGGACGUUGGUUGGAAGUAGAAAACAGUAAUCAAGAUCAGCAAGGUUUGAGAGAAACUAUGGGGCCAGGAGCUCAUGGACAACACACACACACACUUCAACCCUCCGAAGCUCAAGCUGAAGUGGAGAGAGGUAGAAGUAGGAAAAAAAGAGACUUUUUUGGUACUAUAAGAAAAAGACUGAGUAGAUCUAAAAUGCGCUCAAAAUCGAUGGAGCAGGGAGAAUACGAUGAGUCGUUAGAAUCCAACCCGUUGAAUCGGUCGAUCUCUGCUGAUAGAGCUCGAGAUCCAUCAGCGCACUCGACUGGUUCAUACUUAUCAGUACCGCCCAGGGAAGGAUCAGCGAGGUCUUCGUUGAGUGAAGCGUCCGGAAUAAGUGGAGCCUCAAACAGGACUUACAUCAAUGAGGCUUCCACCCUCGUUUUGGAAACCAUCGAGAAUGGAGUCAAAAAAUACUAUUUAGUUCCCUUGUCAAUUGCACAGAAGAGCAAGUGGAAAAAGAAAGGAACAAAACUUCACAUAUUUAAUGACCACACAUUUGUUGCAAAACAUUUGCCUGGGGGGACCCAGUGCCAAGUGUGCCGGAAAAACCUACCCCGCCGCCUAGGAAAGCAAGGGUACGAGUGCCGGGACUGCCUGUUGAAGUGUCACAAACACUGCCACAUCAGGGCAGACAACACAUGUCCUAGCUCCAACAUACAGAGUAUAGAACUGCUCUCCCUGCGAGAACAUAUACUAUUGAUGAUUUAACUAGCAACUUUAACUAUGAUUGCACAGAAGGUACGCAAAAUUGUUUUACACAUCGAGCUGUCCAAAAAACUACUAAAGUUAUUAAUUUUUAAUUGAAUUUUUUCUCCUCAGGCUCUCCCUGCGAGAACAUAUACUAUUGAUGAUUUAACUAGCAACUUUAACUAUGAUUGCACAGAAGGUACGCAAAAUUGUUUUACACAUCGAGCUGUCCAAAAAACUACUAAAGUUAUUAAUUUUUAAUUGAAUUUUUUCUCCUCAAGCUCUCCCUGCGAGAACAUAUAAUAUUGAUGAUUUAACUAGCAACUUUAACUAUGAUUGCACAGAAGGUACGCAAAAUUGUUUUACACAUCGAGCUGUCCAAAAAACUACUAAAGUUAUUAAUUUUUAAUUGAAUUUUUUCUCCUCAAGCUCUCCUUGCGAGAACAUAUAAUAUUGAUGAUUUAACUAGCAACUUUAACUAUGAUUGCACAGAAGGUGUGCUGAUGCAAGUAGUCCUUUCUCAGUAAGAAGAAUGCUGAAGCGGCAAGAAUCCUUGCGGAAGUAACAGCAAGCAGGAGAGCAACGAACAAUCCUCAUUUUUACUUAGCUUACAUGCGACUUAACAUGUGAACACGAUACUGUAGUUAUAUUGAUCAAUGAGUCAGUGAGGUUAUGUUUGACUACUAUGACAUCAGAACUCUGAACUAUCAAAAGACAUUUAAGGUUAAGUUCUAACCGAUAUAGAAAUAUUGUUAGCUUGGGCAAUUGUGUUCUUUUUGAUUCAUUUAUGUUUAUAAACAUUUAAUCCCCAACCAGUUUUACUAUAUUGUUUUCAAACUUAACUUGAAUUAAAGUUCUAAAUAUUGUGUACUUAUUUUAAAAUACAUGUGGUAAUAUUUUAUUCUUGAACACCAAAGUACUUAUUUUGAGACUUGUUUCUUUCGUACUUAUGCAUGUUGAGCUUACAGAGUUCUGGUGUCGAUCAGAGAUCAAAAUAAGCUGCCAUUUUAAAACUUUUAUUUUGUGGUUACCAUUUUUUUAAGUAUGUCUUAAGGUACCUGUAAGCGACUUUAUGGUGCUGUUUAAGCCAAGGCAUGCUUUUUUAAUUAGUGUUAAGUAUUUUUUUGUAUAAUCAUAUAUUUACUUUUAUUGUUUAUUUUAAAAUAGGAAUUCACAUCUGAAAAGUGUAAUGUGUAUUUACUUCACUAAUCUUGUUAUGUUUAUUUAUUGUUGAUUUUGUAGUUUUUUUUGUCUACCAAUAAUUUAUUUUUGUAUUAUUUUAUUGUGCUAACUGAAAUAACCUUUUGGAUUCUCUUCAAUUUAAACUCUUACAUUUUUAAUGUUUUUUUUAUCCCUACCUUUCUUUUAAUCCCAACCUUUUGUUAUAUCUAUAAAUUGUUAUAUAAUCCUAAUCAACAAAAAUUCAAAAACAUCUUAAGACGUGUGAGCUCUAUUAUUUUGUAUCUAAAGCAAUUCUUGGAAACUUUCUUUAAUGAUGUAGAUUUUAUCAAGAACAUUGAUUCAUUAAAAUGUAUUUAAACUGAUAGUCCAGCAAGUAUUUUCUAUAUUAUUACAGGAAAAUAAGUGUGUAAGUUUUAAAGUUAUCAGUUACAAAAAUAUUGUAAAUGAAACUACAGUAUUAUUAUAACCAUAAUCAAUAAACUAUCAUCUUUUUUUAACUCAUGCUUCUGUCAAAACUAUUUCAAAACUCAUAAUCAGCCGUGAUUCGCUCAGUGCCUUCUUAUGUACAAACGCCCAAAGGCUAUAGCUCAUAUUACAAAUUUUAAUAUUGCUCUCGCAGUCUUAACUUUGUAAUGCCUUACAUGUAUAUGUAUAACCGACAUAGAAUCGUUAUCGUAGUAUUAAGUAUUACCUGUAUUACUCUCUAGACGGCUUUGAAAAAUGUAAAUGUAAUAUAUCGCAGGUUUCAAAAUUUCCGAGUUGGUGAUUCGUUUUGUAGUUCCAAACAGUAGCAGCUGUACCUAUCACUUGGUUGUCAAUUAUUGCUAGAAAGGAGCUCUUUGUCAGCUGGCUGCAGGGUAAAGCUUUCGGAAGCUUGUAGUUCCUAAAGUUUAUACUUAAGGGGCAAGGGACCAUAGUCUUUGAAGCACUUCUAGUCUUUUCGGUUCUAUCAGUAAAUCCUCCAUGACACUUUUUAUUUGGUUGUGGUUUUCGUCUAGUCUGACUUUGUGAUUUCAAAAUCUUGCACAUUUGAAAACUAAAUUUUGUGCUUGUAUGUGACUUGUCGUCCUAGGUUAUCAGGUAUGGAUCAUGUGAGAUUUUGUAACGUGAAUUUUAUUAAUCAGUAGAUUUUUUAAGAUUGUUGUCUGUUAUGUUUAUUUUUGUAACACUGCUGUAGCACCUGCUGGACUGUUGUACAGUCUGAUGCGUUCACUUCAAUCUCUUAACCAUAGCUUUAUAUAGCAAUAGACAAAUAAACCUAUUUGGUUUUGUUGGGUA